GGCCAUGGCAACCAUAACUGUGGCCACCAUGAAGAUGCUGGGGUAGUCUGUCAAGGUUUGUAAUUUUCUGUCUUGCAGCCGACCAUACCUCCUGUAGGCACAACUGUGGCUACAACUUUGGCAGCUGCUCCUGCACAAGUUCCUGUCAGCGCUAUGGAAACUGCUGUCGUGACUACAACGAUUACUGCUACAGUACAACAACAGCAGAACCAGCCACAACAACGAACAUAACGGAUAUACCGGAUAUACGACUAGUUGGGGGCAACAGCUCCUGCUCUGGGAGAGUGGAGGUACAGGUCCGUGGCACCUGGGGCACUGUGUGCGAUGACAGCUGGGACAUACCUGAUGCUGAAGUGGUUUGCAGACAGGUGGGCUGUGGACCAGCCCUGAGCGCUCCAAUGAUGGCUCAUUUUGGACAGGGCAGUGGACAGAUCUGGCUGGAUGAUGUCAGCUGCACUGGCAAUGAGUCGUCUCUCUCUCAGUGCAGACAUAAUGGCCAUGGCAACCAUAACUGUGGCCACCAUGAAGAUGCUGGGGUAGUCUGUCAAGGUAAGGCU